GUUGUCCAGANUAGAAUUUAAGUUCUACUUUAAAUUUACCUAAAGCACAAAUAAGCCAAAUGUAAUUUUAAAUGUUAUUCUAAAGAGGGACAGCUCUUUAGAGUCAAGGAAUUAACCUUAACUAGAGAGUAAAACUACCAACUUCCAUAGUUGGCCUAAAAGCAGCCAUCAAUUAAAAAAGCGUUAAAGCUUAAUCAACUAACUAAAACUUAAUACCCAACUCUUUCAUAACCUCCUAAAUCAAUACUGGACUAAUCUAUUCUACAAUAGAAGAAACUAUGUUAAAAUCAGUAACAAGAAAAUAUUCUCCCCGCAUAAGCUUAUAUCAGAUCGAAUAAUUCACUGAUAGUUAACAACUCCAUAAUAUUAAAUAGACACAAAAUCAUUAUUAUUAAUAUUGUUAAUCCAACACUGGUAUGCGUAUUAAGGGAAAGAUCAAAAAAAGCAAAAGGAACUCGGCAAACACUAACCUCGCCUGUUUACCAAAAACAUCACCUCUAGCAUAAAUAGUAUUAGAGGCACUGCCUGCCCAGUGACAUACGUUUAACGGCCGCGGGUAUCCUG
rnacentral:rRNA from 1 species